AGAUACCCGAUCGUAUUGAACAUGCAACUAAAAGUUUUCAAAGUAAUAGUUUUAUUGAUCGCGAUGUCGGCAAAUAAUAGUAUACACUGUCGGAUUGCCAAAUUACAUAUUUUCACUCUAUAUUUUCUCUGUUAGAAAUGGAAGGCCACUUUAUAUGAAUCAUAUGCAAAUUAGUAUAGAAGCGGUUACCAUUGUGUCGCGUAAGCCCGGCGCACACUAAUGCAAGUUAAACGCACACUUUUCAUUCGUGGCUCGUGUCGUGAACAACACCUAAUAUCAAACAUGUUUGAUAUUUUUUGUCAUUUGUGACAAAAAUGUGCGGCAAACAACUCAUCGCAACUUUUCACAGCAAAGAAGUGCGCAUGCGUGAAAUUCCCCAAAACAACAUGGCCGAUAGUGAACAUACUAGUGAGCUGGUCAACGAAGCAAUUUUGGAGGAUAAAUUUGGCCGAAUUAGUCCAUGAGAUUAUUAUAGACUCUUCUCAAUAUCCAUCGUUUCGUUCAUAACUGGCGAUUUGCCCCCCUCGAACGUUUUUAACUUCGCCGUAUCAGCAAAAUAUCUUCAUCGUCUGACAAGUCAUCUUGUUCACUAUCCACCAUGUUGUUUGGGGAAAUAUCACGCAUGCGUAUUUCUUUGCUGCGAAAGGUUGCGAUGAACUGUUUGCCGCACACUAGG